CAAAAUAGGGAUUUAUUAUAAAAACUAUACAAACUUUUUAUCACUCACAAAUGAUGAAAAAUUUUAAACAAUUAGUAUCCUCCCUCCAAAAUAGUGUGUUCUGUCUUUACAGUCUUCACUGGCAGUGCAUUCAGAUAGUAUAGAAAAUAACAAACAUUCCAUAUAACUUUGUCCCUACAGUAAAUAAUUUUUUAAAACUUUUCAUCAAGUUUCAGUGUUACUGAAGUUAAUUAUAGACAGUAAGGAUUACAGAAUAAGCAGUAAAUGGUCACCUGCACUGUAUUUUUCAAAGCAAAAAUUGUUUUAUAUUUUCUAUGUUGUUUUAUCCUGCCCCAAACACUUAAAGCAAAAGUUAAAUAUUUUUCCAGUUACCUGAAACUUCAAAAAUCUAUUGUACUUUGAAAAAACUUUAAAAAGCAGCAUCAUUUAAAUAGUGGUUAACUCAUAAACGUGUAUGCAACAACAUUCCACAACCCUAAUACCACUCAGGCCUGCAGAGUCACCAGCUCACAAUAAUUCAGUGCUCUGAAAGCUGGGGGGAAAGCCCCUGAGUAGUAAGUAUGCAACCCAGGGUGUCGGGUGCUUUCUUGUGGUGAAACAAGGGUGUCAAAACUGAGGGGACUCUCCAAGGUCCUAAUGAAAAGCAGCUCCUCUAAACACCUGAAUCCUUUUUGACUCCAUUCUCAUCACUUUAAGGAUGAAGCCUUUCUGUACAAAGGCUUUGUACAGAAAUUAUUAAAAACUAUAUUUUACACUAAUGCUAACAGCUAAUUGAGCAGAAAGAACUAUGAAGUACAAAUUUUUCUAAGGUUUUCUUAUUAAUGGCAAUACAGACUUUUUUUUUUUUUGAGACGGAGUCUCGCUCUGUUGCCCAGGGUGGAGUGCAGUGGCGUGAUCUUGGCUCACUGCAACCUCUGCCUCCUGGGUUCAAGCGAUUCUCCUGCCUCAGCCUCCCGAGUACCUGAAAAAGCAAAAAGAAACUAAGAGUAAACAACAGCUUUACCAAGUUAGAGUUGGUUUCUUGGAACAUCUGAACACAGAUAUACAUCAAAGCCUUAAAGUAACAACCAGGGAAUAUGUUGGCAACUAGAAAUGAAUUCUAAUUUUCUUCAUUUAACUGUCAAUACAAUCUUCUUUGAAGGAUGUGUUCUAGAAGGUGGGUGGGAGGAACCAAGCAGGUCAACGCUCUGCACUUAUUAACAAAAUCAUUUAGAAGACACUGGAAUAGUCCAAGCUCUUCCAUUCACUAGCUCUGUGAACUUGAGCCUCAGUUUCCUAACCCUCAAAAUGACAUUGAAUUAUAUCUCCAAGCUCUAAAUCACCUGUUAGCUCUACAUUGCUGACUUCAUGAUUUCAUACUGCAAAAUAAAAAAUACAAGUAAAAGGCAUUCAAAGUUAAGCCAUGAACCCAAUGUAAACAGUGAGUCCACUUAACAGAUUUUUACCGUCAAAGCAUGUCCUGUCAUGCCACUGCACACUGUGACAUGUGAUUUCCUCAUGUAUCAGGAAAGAGGAACCAACCAACUAUCUGCUCUUCCCAAACCCUUCUCCUGCUGCUGGACUCUAAAAUGCUGCACAACUUAGGCCGACCCAGAACAAAUAUAUGAGAACUCCUCUUUAUAAAUUAAGUUUAAAAAGCAAGAAUAGGCUGACUGCUGUUUAAUACUGACACUGGCACCACCAUUCAGUCCAUCUGUAAAUGGCCCCAUACCUCAAGACCUACAUAUCCAGGUCAGAGUGGAAGACUGGGAGUCCCUAGGCUACAGGACUGGACCUUGAGACUCCAUAUUCUCUGAAGCCAACAGCAAUAUGCCAUUGAGGUGAACUUAUAGAUUCUAUUCUCUAGUUUAACUAUAUUAACCUUCACAAAAUACAUAUGUGGCUUUCUUGUAAAAGGCUUUCAAGAAAUCUAAGUAUUGAAAAUAGUUACGAUGCAUGCAUGUGAAGAACGGACCCUUUCAGAGAAUAAGCUCAUUGCUUCCCACAUAAGGUGAAAACUAGCAAUCUAAUCAGAUUGUAGUGGUCAGCCAAAUAUUUUUUAAAUGCUAAUGCUUAAAAAUAUGGGUAGGCCUCUUGGCCGGGCAUGGUGGCUCACGCCUGUAAUCCCAACACUUUGGGAGGCCGAGGUGAACAGAUCACUUGAGGUCAGGAGUUUGAGACCAGCCUGGCCAAUAUGGAGAAACCCCAUCUCUACUAAAAAUAUAAAAAUGAGCUGAGCAUGGUAGUGUGUGCCUAUAAUCCCAGCUACUCAGGAGGCUGAGGCAGGAAAAUCACUUGAACUCGGGAGGUGGAGGUUGCAGUGAACUGAGACUGCGCGACUGCACUCUAGCCUGGGAGACAGAGUGAGACUCCGUCUCAGGAAAAAAAUAAUGUGUGUGUGUGUGUGUGUGUGUGUAUGUGUGUGUGUGUAUACAUAUAUAGGUAGGCCAGGUGCAGUGGCUCAAGCCUGUAAUCCCAACACUUUGGGAGGCCGAGGUGGGAGGACUGCCUGAGCCCAGUUUAAGACCACCCUAGGCAACAGUGAGACUCUGUCUCUACUAAAAAUAAAAGCUUACCAGGCAUGGCAGCACACACCUGUAGUCCCAGCUACUUGGGAGGCCAGUGGAGUAAAGAAAGUCACUGACGAGAUGAGGAACCCCAGCACUAGUCCAACACAGAGCAUGCAGAUCGAGAGGAUUCCAAAUCGCCACCACACAGCUACCAAGAACAUUCCACCGACGCUUCCAGUGACAGCUGUCAGAAUCAGAUUCACUGUACAAAGAGAGAGGAUGAACUGCUGGAUAACCGGCAGUACUUCCAACCGCGUGCCUUAGACAUACAAUACCGUUACCAGUGCCAGCUUCAGCUUUCUGUAGGUCAGGCACUGAGGGCUCUUCAGUGGUGCCAUGAAGCCAGCAUAGAGCAACCCUCUCUAGGGAGGGGUCUGGGCUGAGACAAGGAAAUUAGCUAGGGAGCUAAACCUCACAGGGCCAGUGACAGGCUUGGCUUGUCAAUAAAUUGGGAUUGAGAAGGAAAAGUUGACAAGCAUUCUGUUAAACAUAAUGGGGUAGGGAGGUAUCUGUUUUCAGGUAAAGAAAACCUCAACA
rnacentral:lncRNA from 1 species